rnacentral:rRNA from 1 species
CACGUAGGGACCAAGCGUUGUCCGGAUUUAUUGGGCGUAAAGCGCUCGUAGGCGGCUUGGUAAGUCGGGUGUGAAACCUCCAGGCUCAACCUGGUGACGCCACCCGAUACUGCUAUGGCUUGAGUUCGGUAGGGGAGCGGGGAAUUCCUGGUGUAGCGGUGAAAUGCGUAGAUAUCUGGAGGAACACCGGUGGCGAAGGCGGCAUCCUGGACCGACACUGACGCUGAGGAGCGAAAGCCAGGGGAGCAAACGGG